CCUACGGGAGGCAGCAGUGGGUAAUAUUGCACAAUGGGCGAAACCCUGAUGCAGCAACGCCGCGUGAAGGAUGACGGUUCUCGGAUUGUAAACUUUUGUUCUUAGUGAAGAAUAAGGACGCUAGCGAAGGAGCAAGCCACGGCUUCCUACGUGCCAGCAGCCGCGGUAAUACGUAGGUUGCAGGCGUUGUCCGGAUUUACUGGGUGUAAAGGUAGCGCAGUCGGGAAGCCAGGUCAGCUGUGAAAACUACAGGCUUAACUUGUAGAAUGCAGUUGAAACUGGUUUUCUUGAGUGAAGUAGAGGUUGGCGGAAUUCCGAGUGUAGCGGUGAAAUGCGUAGAUAUUCGGAGGAACACCGGUGGCGAAGGCGGCCAACUGGGCUUUAACUGACGCUGAGGCUCGAAAGUGUGGGGAGCAAACAGGAUGAGAUACCCCUGUAGUC
rnacentral:rRNA from 1 species